GACGAACGCUGGCGGCGUGCUUAACACAUGCAAGUCGAACGGAAAGGCCCUGCUAUUGUGGGGUGCUCGAGUGGCGAACGGGUGAGUAACACGUGAGUAACCUGCUCUUGACUUUGGGAUAACUUCAGGAAACUGGGGCUAAUACCGGAUAGGAGCUCCUGCUGCAUGGUGGGGGUUGGAAAGUUUCGGCGGUUGGGGAUGGACUCGCGGCUUAUCAGCUUGUUGGUGGGGUAGUGGCUUACCAAGGCUUUGACGGGUAGCCGGCCUGAGAGGGUGACCGGCCACAUUGGGACUGAGGUACGGCCCAGAGUCGUACGGGAGGCAGCAGUGGGGAAUAUGGCACAAUGGGCGGAAGCCUGAGGCAGCGACGCCGCGUGCGGGAUGACGGCCUUCGGGUUGUAAACCGCUUUCGCCUGUGACGAAGCGUGAGUGACGGUAAUGGAUAAAGAAGCACCGGCUAACUACGUG
rnacentral:rRNA from 1 species